rnacentral:rRNA from 1 species
CCUACGGGUGGCAGCAGUGGGGAAUAUUGCACAAUGGGGGAAACCCUGAUGCAGCGACGCAGCGUGAGUGAAGAAGUAAUUCGUUACGUAAAGCUCUAUCAGCAGGGAAGAAAAUGACGGUACCUGAGUAAGAAGCCCCGGAUAACGACGUGCAAGAAGCCGCGGUAAUACGUAGGGGGCAAGCGUUAUCCGGAUUUACUGGGUGUAAAGGGAGCGUAGACGGUGCGUCAAGUCUUGAGUGAAAUUCCGCAGCGUAACUGCGGAACUGAGUUUGAAACGGGCGAACUUGAGUGCGGGUGGGGUAAGCGGAAUUCCUAGUGUAGCGGUUAAAUGCGUGGAUAGUAGGAGG